AUCCAGCUGAAGAGUCCCAAAUAGGGUGAAACAUAGGUGCUGGAU
rnacentral:hammerhead_ribozyme from 1 species